GUCCACGCCGUAAACGAUGUCUACUAGUUGUUGGGAGACUUGAUCUCUUAGUAACGAAGCUAACGCGAUAAGUAGACCGCCUGGGGAGUACGGCCGCAAGGUUAAAACUCAAAUGAAUUGACGGGGGCCCGCACAAGCGGUGGAGCAUGUGGUUUAAUUCGAAGCAACGCGAAGAACCUUACCUACUCUUGACAUCCUGCGAACUUGGUAGAGAUACCUUGGUGCCUUCGGGAACGCAGUGACAGGUGCUGCAUGGCU
rnacentral:rRNA from 1 species